GAAAUCCGUUUCCUGGCACUGAAUGCAACCACAGACAGCCAUACGCUCACAUAUAUAGAGUUAUGGACUCUGUACUGCUGUCUGUGGUAGGCGGGGCUCUCUUCCUAUCAAUCAUCCUUGUAACCAGUCUUUGUACAUACUGCUGGGGGCAUAAACAACCAACAUCCAUCCAUCAGAGGUCCAGUGACUCAGAAUACAACCCAACACCAGGUUUUGUGCUUCGGCAUCCCGUGUCAACAUAUGAGCACCAUACAGAUCAUACCAGAAUUGGACCUUACCAACCCAAUUCACUCAGUUCACCAUCUAUUACUGUCACAAAGGUGCCCUCCUGUCCUCCCUCAGAAACUGGAAGUCAAGCCAGUUAUGUGAAUCAAAACGGGAGUGACGAUGAGCCGUAUGUUCAGCCUCCAAGUGAAUACAUAGAGGUUCUUCCAGAUUCCCCAAACACGCCAUCUCAGAGACCCAGCAGAGCCUCAUCCCAGAGCUCAGGAGAACGUUACAUAAAUGUAAAACAAGAUGAGAAUAUGUCUGGAGUUAUAUUUGACUGUGAGAUGUAUGCGGAUGAAUCAGACUCAGACAUUCCCGAUUAUGAAAAUUAUGAAAAUUGCAAAGAUUCUCAAGACGGCAGUGAACAAACCCAUAGUCUGUCCCGUGGAAGUCGGGGCAGCUCUGAUUAUGUCAACACAGAAUUUACAAUAACCAAGGAUUUGCAUUUUACCAAAAAAUGA
ensembl:lncRNA